rnacentral:rRNA from 1 species
GACGAACGCUGGCGGCGUGCUUAACACAUGCAAGUCGAACGGAAAGGCCCUGCUUUUGUGGGGUGCUCGAGUGGCGAACGGGUGAGUAACACGUGAGUAACCUGCCCUUGACUUUGGGAUAACUUCAGGAAACUGGGGCUAAUACCGGAUAGGAGCUCCUGCUGCAUGGUGGGGGUUGGAAAGUUUCGGCGGUUGGGGAUGGACUCGCGGCUUAUCAGCUUGUUGGUGGGGUAGUGGCUUACCAAGGCUUUGACGGGUAGCCGGCCUGAGAGGGUGACCGGCCGCGUUGGAGGGUGGCGCCUGGCAAGAGUGCGAGGGGGGGGAGGGGUGGGGAACGUGGAGCGUGGGACGGAGGCGGGAGACAGCGGCGGGGGGUGGGGGAGGACGGGCUGCGGGUUGUACACAGUGCGCGCGUGAGAAGGCGCGGUACGGACGGGGACAGGCAAGGAAGCACCGGGUACGUACGCAGCGGAAGGGCGCGAAUAAGGGGACUCCCCACCGCCCGCAC